rnacentral:rRNA from 1 species
GGCGGCGUGCCUAACACAUGCAAGUCGUACGAGAAAGCCGGCUUCGGCUGGUGAGUAAAGUGGCGCACGGGUGAGUAACGCGUGGAUAAUCUGCCCUUAAGUGUGGAAUAACGUACCGAAAGGUGCGCUAAUACCGCAUAAUGCCUGGCAACACAAGUUGUCCGGCCAAAGAAGGCCUCUGUUUACAAGCUUUCGCUUCAGGAUGAGUCCGCGUACCAUUAGCUUGUUGGUGGGGUAAUGGCCUACCAAGGCUGCGAUGGUUAGCUGGUCUGAGAGGAUGAUCAGCCACACUGGAACUGAGACACGGUCCAGACUCCUACGGGAGGCGGCAGUGAGGAAUAUUGCGCAAUGGGGGCAACCCUGACGCAGCAACGCCGCGUGAGUGAGGAAGGUUUUCGGACUGUAAAGCUCUGUCGAGCGGGAAGAAGUGUACCAUGGCUAAUAUCCAUGAUAUUUGACGGUACCGCUAGAGGAAGCACCGGCUAACUCCGUG